UGUACUCGACCGUGCAUGACAUAAUCCGUCUUAAGUCGCGAUACUAAAGCGGUCGGGGAGGAUCGACCAUGAACGACAGUCGCACUUCGGAAUGGAUAGUGCGGGUGGGCAGCGACGAAUUUCCAGCGCAUGAUUCGGGCAUGGUCAGAGAGUGGAUCGUUGCUGGGCGAGUUCCUGCGUGGGCGAUGCUCCAGCGGCCAGGAGAGACCCUGUGGACGAGGGCAGAUGGCGCACCUGAAACGCGCGAUUUGUUUCCUGCGGGGCGCAACCCGCUUCUCGAGCGAUUUCUACCGCAGAUACAGAACGCAAAGGAUGCAUCAGACCUUUGCAAGAUAGGCGCUGCUGCCGCUGCGGUGUCGGCUGCGAUCGCUCUAGCCUUUGUUCUGUGGGGCAACGGCGCCUUGGGCGUAGAUGACUUGUCUCUAGUCGAUGUCGGGAUCUACUCCCUCUGUGGAGUGGGGAUCUGGAGAGGCUGGAGAUCCGCCGCCAUCGUUGCCACGAUCACCUUCGCAGCUGGGAAGACCUAUCAGCUGAUGACCCUUCCGAAAAUACAUCCGUUCUUCGUGUUCAUCAGCCUUGUGUUCUUCCUGGCUUUCGUGAACGCGGCCAGAGGCUCAUUCGCUCUAAAGCGGUAUCGAGUCGGAAGGCAGAUCGCUCAAGGGGGGCGACGUGACACUGAGUUGUGAAACGAUUCUCGAUUGGCGUGGCAAAGGUUGGGGGCGAUCGCACUUGCCGGGAUAGGGCUAAUCGUUUUCGUAUGAGCGGCGUACGAAACGCGAGAGGCGUAUUUCGAGAGGCAGAACGCGCCGCUCGCGACCUGCGAGGGUAUGUUGGAAUGCGAGAAAAGGCGAUCAGAACAACUUGGUCGUUCAUUGGAGUGUUUUUGCUUGGUGUCUCGACUGCGGCAUUUCUAAAGAACACCGGCUUCAAAAGCUUCGACGCUCUCCUUCCGUUUGACUCGUUCGGGCAACACGGUGUGGCCGCAGUGGCGCUACCUGUGAUCUGUGUGCUUCUCAGCUUGCAAGCCGUCCUAACGAUCGUCUAUCGAGCCAAAGUGAAGACGCGGCGUUCUCAGUCGCGCCUGUCCCUGGUGCCGGUUUUCUUUUUCGAGCCGAAGGAAGUUUGUCCGGACACCACAUCCGGAGUGGUGUACCAGUCGGUGUUUCUAUGUCUUUUCCUGCUCUUCCCGCUCGCGAUCUCAGUGAAACUGAUGCAUUCGUUCCAGAGUUCACGUGUGUUGCUUCGCAACAGAAGCUUUAUAACCGAAUUCACUCAUUUCACAGUUUCACCUUCAAGAAUCAGAUGGGACGACUGGCUAAGAGGAACGUAUGAAUUGGAUGGUCUCUCAUAUUACCCGCUCGUUCAGCCGUCUCUGUAUCUAGUUCUUCAUGUUCUGAGCGCACUCCUAGUCGGGUGGGCGUGUUUUCGCUUAUCACGGAACUCGCCCCAAGUGCCGCGGGACGGUUUCUCCACAGCACGGUUUCUCCACAGUGCCGCUAGGUUGCAGGCUUCGGGCCGCCAGCGCUGAUGACUGGGUACAUUCGAGGCGUGAUCGGACGCAGCGUGAAAGCGCCUUCAGCCAAGAUCACGGCGCUGGAAAGGUCCGCGCCCCGGGUUUAAUGACUCCGGGGAUGCUGUCAAUCGCUGGCAUCUAUCUCGUGCCGAUCCUUGCUAUCUGGUCAUCGGUGAGUGGGUGGUGGCGCGAGUCGCGCCACAUCGUCGCGAGCUUCCAUGCGCGUUCGUUGAGGCGUGUCUUGAGUGUCGUGAUGUCCGGGGCACCGAGAGUGGUCGCGAGCGUCUGCGCGAUCGUCGUGCGGGUUGCGCUGUGGAUGAAGUGUGGCGUCUGGCGCAGGUACACGCUCGACCAUGGAACCCACGGGUUACGCACGCUCCUCAAGUGCUUCUGGGGCGACUUGGCCGCGGAGAAAGAGGAGGUAGUCGGCGGCGGUGUACUGCUCGAGUGGCAGAGCCGUCGCGAGGGGUCCCUCCUCGUGUCGUUGCUGCAGGAGGUAGCCGUGGUAGGAGAUCUUGCCGUAUUGCCGCUUAAGCGGUUCAAGGCUUUCGAGCCAGUGAUCGGCGUAGGUGAAGUCGACGGGCUCGCCGUUGGCGUGGCGCGCGUUUCUGAUCGUGAGUGGUUCGUUGAGGAUGUCCGUGAUGAUCUCGUAGCGUUCCUCCUGCAGGAGUGUGGCGAUGAGGAUGACAAGGAGUUCGUUGCCGAGGAACUUCCAAUAGUCGAAGUCGCGGCGGU
rnacentral:misc_RNA from 1 species